rnacentral:rRNA from 1 species
AGAGUUUGAUCCUGGCUCAGAUUGAACGCUGGCGGCAUGCUUAAUACAUGCAAGUCGAACGGUAACAGAUUCUUCGGAAUGCUGACGAGUGGCGGACGGGUGAGUAAUACAUAGGAAUCUGCCCAUGUAGUGGGGGACAACUUGGGGAAACUCAAGCUAAUACCGCAUAAUUCCUACGGGAUAAAGAGGGCCACUGCUUGCAAGCUCUUGCUACUGGAUGAGCCUAUGUCGGAUUAGUUAGUUGGUAAGGUAAUGGCUUACCAAGACAGCGAUCCGUAGCUGGUUUGAGAGGAUGAUCAGCCACACUGGGACUGAGACACGGCCCAGACUCCUACGGGAGGCAGCAGUAGGGAGUAUUGGACAAUGGGCGCAAGCCUGAUCCAGCAAUGCCGCGUGUGUGAAGAAGGCCUGCGGGUUGUAAAGCACUUUCAAUUGGGAAGAAAGAUUAUGAGUUAAUACCUUAUAAUAUUGACGUACCAA